UACGGAGGGGACUAGCGUUGUUCGGAAUUACUGGGCGUAAAGCGCGCGUAGGCGGAUUUGCAAGUCGGGGGUGAAAUCCCGAGGCUCAACCUCGGAACUGCCUUCGAUACUGCAAAUCUCGAGUCCGGAAGAGGUGAGUGGAAUUCCUAGUGUAGAGGUGAAAUUCGUAGAUAUUAGGAAGAACACCAGUGGCGAAGGCGGCUCACUGGUCCGGGUACUGACGCUGAGGCGACGAAAGCGUGGGGAGCAAACAGG
rnacentral:rRNA from 1 species